GGCUCAGGAUGAACGCUGCGGGCGUGCCUAAUACAUGUAAGUCGAACGGAGAGUUGCAUUUCGGUGUGACUUCGAGUGGCGAACGGGUGAGUAACGCGUGGGUGACCUGCCCCGAAGGGGGGGAUAACAGCUCGAAAGGGCUGCUAAUACCCCAUGUGGACGCUCUAGUUAGAGAAGGGUGUCUGAAGGAGGGUCUUGCGCAAGCAAGGCUUCCGCUUUGGGAGGGACCUGCGUCCCAUCAGCUGGUUGGUAGGGUAACGGCCUACCAAGGCGACGACGGGUAGGGGGCCUGAGAGGGUGGCCCCCCACACUGGCACUGAAACACGGGCCAGACACCUACGGGUGGCAGCAGUAGGGAAUAUUGCACAAUGGGCGCAAGCCUGAUGCAGCAACGCCGCGUGCACGAAGAAGGCCUUCGGGUCGUAAAGUGCUUUUCUGGAGGAGGAGGAAGGACCGUACUCCAGGAAUAAGUCUCGGCUAACUACGUGCCAGCAGCCGCGGUAAAACGUAGGAGACAAGCGUUAUCCGAAUUUACUGGGCGUAAAGCGCAUGCAGGUGGUUCGGUAAGUGGCGUGUGAAAUCUCCUGGCUCAACUGGGAAGGGACGCGCCAAACUGUCGGACUAGAGGGCGGUAGAGGGAGGUGGAAUUCCCGGUGUAGUGGUGAAAUGCGUAGAUAUCGGGAGGAACACCUGUGGCGAAAGCGGCCUCCUGGACCGUACCUGACGCUCAGAUGCGAAAGCUAGGGGAGCGAACGGGAUUAGAAACCCCGGUAGUCCUAGCUGUAAACGAUGUGGACUGGGUGUUGGUGGGGUAAAAGCCAUCAGUGGCGAAACAAACGCGUUUAGUCCACCGCCUGAAGACUACGGCCG
rnacentral:rRNA from 1 species